rnacentral:tRNA from 1 species
GGAGGCGACGAGGUCCUGGUGGGCCUGCUGGACUUCAAACCCAGUCGGGGGCGCCUGGCGUCCCAGGUAGGUUCGAUUCCUACACGCCUCCGCCA